AACGAACGCUGGCGGCAUGCCUAACACAUGCAAGUCGAACGAAGCCUUCGGGCUUAGUGGCGCACGGGUGCGUAACGCGUGGGAAUCUGCCCUUGGGUUCGGAAUAACAGUUAGAAAUGACUGCUAAUACCGAAUGACGUCUUCGGACCAAAGAUUUAUCGCCCAAGGAUGAGCCCGCGUCGGAUUAGCUAGUUGGUGAGGUAAAGGCUCACCAAGGCGACGAUCCGUAGCUGGUCUGAGAGGAUGAUCAGCCACACUGGGACUGAGACACGGCCCAGACUCCUACGGGAGGCAGCAGUGGGGAAUAUUGGACAAUGGCGAAAGCCUGAUCCAGCAAUGCCGCGUGAGUGAUGAAGGCCUUAGGGUUGUAAAGCUCUUUACCCGGGAUGAUAAUGACAGUACCGGGAGAAUAAGCCCGGCUAACUACCGUGCCAGCAGCCGCGGU
rnacentral:rRNA from 1 species